GACGAACGCUGGCGGCGUGCUUAACACAUGCAAGUCGAACGGAAAGGCCCUUCGGGGUACUCGAGUGGCGAACGGGUGAGUAACACGUGGGUGAUCUGCCCUGCACUUUGGGAUAAGCCUGGGAAACUGGGUCUAAUACCGGAUAGGACUACGCGAUGCAUGUCGUGUGGUGGAAAGCUUUUGCGGUGUGGGAUGGGCCCGCGGCCUAUCAGCUUGUUGGUGAGGUUACGGCUCACCAAGGCGACGACGGGUAGCCGGCCUGAGAGGGUGACCGGCCACACUGGGACUGAGAUACGGCCCAGACUCCUACGGGAGGCAGCAGUGGGGAAUAUUGCACAAUGGGCGCAAGCCUGAUGCAGCGACGCCGCGUGAGGGAUGACGGCCUUCGGGUUGUAAACCUCUUUCAGCAGGGACGAAGCGCAAGUGACGGUACCUGUAGAAGAAGGACCGGCCAACUACGUGCCAGCAGCCGCCGUAAAAC
rnacentral:rRNA from 1 species